rnacentral:lncRNA from 1 species
GAAGAAGAAUAAGAAUGUACAUGAUUGAAAUUCAAAUGAAAUAAUCAACCCACAUUGAUCAAACAUGAAUGGAAUCAAAGGCAAUCAAUGGUAAACAGAAGCAAGAUGAAGCUUAGAAGUCAAGAAACAAAUAAAAUAUUUUUGGUAUUUUUUGAGAAUUAAAAUAAUACUUGAAUUAAAAUAAACAAACAAAUGUCAAACUUCAAAUCCAUUUCAAAUUAACUUGGAAAAG